rnacentral:rRNA from 1 species
AUUGAACGCUGGCGGCAGGCCUAACACAUGCAAGUCGAACGAGUGGCGGACGGGUGAGUAAUGUCUGGGAAACUGCCCGAUGGCGGGGAAUAACUAGUGGAAACGGUAGCUAAUACCGCAUACCAUCGGAUGUGCGCUGAUGGGAUUAGCUAGUAGGUGGUGUAACGGCUCACAGCGGCGACGAUCCCUAGCUGAUCUGAGAGGAUGAACGGCCACACUGGAACUGAGACACGGUCCAGACUCCUACGGGAGGCAGCAGUGGGGAAUAUUGCACAAUGGGCGAAAGCCUGACGCAGCCAUGCCGCGUGUAUGAAGAAGGCCUUCGGGUUGUAAAGUACUUUCAGCGAGGAGGCGUUACUCGAAGAGGAAGCACCGGCUAACUCCGUGCCAGCAGCCGCGGUAAUAC